ACGAACGCUGGCGGCGUGCUUAACACAUGCAAGUCGAGCGGAAAGGCCCUUCGGGGUCCUCGAGCGGCGAACGGGUGAGUAACACGUGAGUAACCUGCCCCAGACUUUGGGAUAACCCUCGGAAACGGGGGCUAAUACCGGAUACGACACAGCUUCGCAUGGGGUCUGUGUGGAAAGUUUUUCGGUUUGGGAUGGGCUCGCGGCCUAUCAGCUUGUUGGUGGGGUGAUGGCCUACCAAGGCGACGACGGGUAGCCGGCCUGAGAGGGCGACCGGCCACACUGGGACUGAGACACGGCCCAGACUCCUACGGGAGGCAGCAGUGGGGAAUAUUGCACAAUGGGCGGAAGCCUGAUGCAGCGACGCCGCGUGAGGGAUGACGGCCUUCGGGUUGUAAACCUCUUUCAGCAGGGACGAAGCGUAAGUGACGGUACCUGCAGAAGAAGCGCCGGCCAACUACGU
rnacentral:rRNA from 1 species